rnacentral:rRNA from 1 species
GACGAACGCUGGCGGCGUGCUUAACACAUGCAAGUCGAACGGAAAGGCCCUUCGGGGUACUCGAGUGGCGAACGGGUGAGUAACACGUGGGUGAUCUGCCCUGCACUUCGGGAUAAGCCUGGGAAACUGGGUCUAAUACCGGAUAGGACUACGGCCUGCAUGGGUUGUGGUGGAAAGCUUUUGCGGUGUGGGAUGGGCCCGCGGCCUAUCAGCUUGUUGGUGGGGUGAUGGCCUACCAAGGCGACGACGGGUAGCCGGCCUGAGAGGGUGUCCGGCCACACUGGGACUGAGAUACGGCCCAGACUCCUACGGGAGGCAGCAGUGGGGAAUAUUGCACAAUGGGCGCAAGCCUGAUGCAGCGACGCCGCGUGAGGGAUGACGGCCUUCGGGUUGUAAACCUCUUUCAGUAGGGACGAAGCGCAAGUGACGGUACCUAUAGAAGAAGCACCGGCCAACUACGUGCCAGCAGCCGCGGUAAUACGUAGGGUGCGAGCGUUGUCCGGAAUUACUGGGCGUAAAGAGCUCGUAGGUGGUUUGUCGCGUUGUUCGUGAAAACUCACAGCUCAACUGUGGGCGUGCGGGCGAUACGGGCAGACUGGAGUACUGCAGGGGAGACUGGAAUUCCUGGUGUAGCGGUGGAAUGCGCAGAUAUCAGGAGGAACACCGGUGGCGAAGGCGGGUCUCUGGGCAGUAACUGACGCUGAGGAGCGAAAGCGUGGGGAGCGAACAGGAUUAGAUACC